rnacentral:rRNA from 1 species
UACAGAGACCUCAAGCGUUAUCCGGAAUCAUUGGGCGUAAAGCGUACCGAUAGGUGGUCAAGAAAGUCAGAGGUGAAAUCUCAAGGCUCAACUUUGAGACUGUCCUUUGAAACUUCUCGACUAGAGGGGCAAAGAGGAAGCUAGAACGAACGGUGUAGUAGUGAAAUGCGUUGAUAUCGUUCGGAAUACCGGUGGCGAAGGCGGCAUCCUGGACCAACACUGACACUGAAUCGCGAAAGCUAGGGGAGCAAACGGG